rnacentral:lncRNA from 1 species
CAAUCUUUCUUUAUAAUUUGAGAACGCAAUGUCUGUUUCUUUAUAAUUCAAUGACAUCAUUAUCGAAUAAUUUUAUAUAAUGGCAAAAAUAUCCAAUUAUUUUCAUUAAAUGAAAAACAAAUAUGCAAUUUUUCAUUUCCAGUGCAAAUAUUGAGAAUUAAGUGAUUAAUGUUAAAGCGCAAAAGCUAAAAGUAACAUAUCAUAUAGUACAUUUAUAUAGAAUGAUUAAAGUACCACGCAUCAAUUGGUGGAAUGCAUUUCCUUAUUUCCGUCCUUCAGCCACAAAAUGUUUCACUUUUGUUUACUUUUAAAUCCAUUGAAGUUAGGUAAUACAGCUUGACGUGAUUAUUAUACUAGGAAGGAAAUCGUAGUCAAGAUCUAAGUUCAAUUCUGUCACCACUGUACGAAAAUAGUUUCCGCUUUAUACAUUUAUACCUCCUUGAACUUUUGAGGAAGAACAAAAAUAUAGGUGUGCCUAUCAAAUGUUUGUCUUCCUAGUCUAUAAUCUAUGUUGAAUUGGAAAAACCGUGACAACUUUUAAAUGUGCAUCGAAAAUUUAACAAAAAUGGAGGUAUGAUUAAAGGAAUUAAGGAUGUCUGCUGGUCAUGUUUUUGAAUUCUUGUCAUAUUUUCGAUUUUCUCAGGUUUUAUCCAUACAAAUGUAUUAAAAUAUUUUUUACACGAGACCCCACUUUUGUCUUCAUAAAUCUGUUCAAUAGAUCAUUGAUGACCAUUUGAAUUUUUGUCAUGAAAUCCUUGUUAUUUUUUCUUGGUUUAAAGGGUAAAAAACAAUUCCAGUGUUAACAAAUAGUAAAGUCUGAAGAAAACCCUUUUCCCGCCAUUUUCUAAAUGUCUCGUAUUUUGAAAACUACACACGAGACUAUCGAUUUUAUUACUUCAUUUUUUUUAAAUAUCAAAGUUGUUUUCAUUUUAAGCAAUCACAUGCAAUCCUUGUUAUUUUAAAUUAGAGCAGCAGACAUCCUUAAGUUUAGCUUGAUUUCACGUUGUACUGUACGAAACUGUAAAAGUAUAUUUCCCAAAUACAACGUUUAUAAACGCAAUAGAGACUUGGAAUGUCUUACACGUGUGAAAGUUGUUCAUCAUCCUUAUAAGGACUUACAUGUACUUCUGUGCUGAGGCAUUUGAAUAAAAUAAAAAUAAAACAGGGCGAAGAUAUGUGUGAAUGAAGUUGUAUUAAUAUUGUUGAUUCCAAAACGUGCUUCACUUUAUAUUGUCUUACAGAGUAUAUAUUUGUAUUUCAUUUAUUGAAGAUUAAUUUUCCAUGGAAUGUUGUUUUCCUGAUCUGCUCAACAUGGAACUUCUUCUAAAAUAUAUGUGAUGCUUCUUUUCAUUUUAACAACGACCAAGCUUUAACUGUUAUCAAUAAUCAAAUAAAGCAACGAAAUGUAUUAUUGUUUAAAUUUAAACAUAUCAAAUGUUCGUAUUUUCCCAGUUAUUCGUGUAGUGUUAGAACACAUAUAACAUAGUGACUACGUAGGUGUAAGCAGCUUUAACACACUUCUUUACAUGUAUCGGCAUCAUUCGAUAUCUAUUCUGAGAUUAUUUUUGAGAUUUAUUUACACUUUUAAUGCCCCACCUACGAUAGUAGAAGGGCAUUGUGUUUUCUGGUCUGUGCGUCCGUUCGUUCGUUCGUCCGUCUGUCCCGCUUCAGGUUAAAGUUUUUGGUCAAGGUAGUUUUUGAUGAAGUUGAAGUCCAAUCGACUUCAAACUUAGUAUACAUGUUCCCUAUGAUAUGAUCUUUUUAAUUUUAAUGCCAAAUUAGAGGGUUUACCCAAAUUUAACGGUCCACUGAACAUAGAAAAUGAUAGUGCGAGUGGGGCAUUCGUGUACUGGGGACACAUUCUUGUUGAUACAUUAUACGUAUGUAAGGUCUUUUUACAAACUCUGAAACAGUGGUGACGUUGCUUUGCUUAACUAUCACCGUUGCGUAGCAUGGAAGACGUUACCAGUUUCGGAGUUUGGGGUUUGGUUGUCUUUUAUUUGUAUUGUUGGGUUAAUGUCUUCUUGAUAUAUAUCCCCUUGAUUUUUUUAUAUACAUAUUUCUCUAAUUUUUGUGCUAUUUUCACAUUUCUUGAUCGGUGUGAGAAAAAUAUUUCUUCUCACUAGUAAACAAUCUGUUCUCGGCAAA